GUCUAUGGCCAUACCACCUUGAACACACCUGAUCUCGUUGUCUCAUCUCAGAAGCUAAGCAGGGUCAGGCCUAGAUAGUACUUGAAUGGGAGACAGCCUGUGACUACUCGGUGCUGUAGGCU
ensembl:rRNA LOC120098412 5S ribosomal RNA